rnacentral:rRNA from 1 species
GACGAACGCUGGCGGCGUGCUUAACACAUGCAAGUCGAACGCUGAAGCUUGGUGCUUGCACUGGGUGGAUGAGUGGCGAACGGGUGAGUAAUACGUGAGUAACCUGCCCUUGACUCUGGGAUAAGCCUGUGAAACUGGGUCUAAUACUGGAUACGACAUGUCACCGCAUGGUGGUGUGUGGAAAGGGUUUUACUGGUUUUGGAUGGGCUCACGGCCUAUCAGCUUGUUGGUGGGGUAAUGGCUCACCAAGGCGACGACGGGUAGCCGGCCUGAGAGGGUGACCGGCCACACUGGGACUGAGACACGGCCCAGACUCCUACGGGAGGCAGCAGUGGGGAAUAUUGCACAAUGGGCGGAAGCCUGAUGCAGCGACGCCGCGUGAGGGAUGACGGCCUUCGGGUUGUAAACCUCUUUCAGCACGGAAGAAGCGAAAGUGACGGUACGUGCAGAAGAAGCGCCGGCUAACUACGUG